rnacentral:misc_RNA from 1 species
UCGAUACCUGUCCAAAACAGAACGACCAGCGAACGAAAGAUCAUCACUUUCGGCGGGCCGAUGUCCCCAGCGGAUCUCGCGCCCGCCAAUUCCGUGGUUUUGCGUGAUGUUCCCAUGAAGAGUUUCGGCUCGAUUGGGUCAUGCGCUGGGCUUCCGGAUAUCACAAAACCCCGGCACGAAAAGUGCCAAGGAACAUGCAACCAAACAGCUUCCAUCCGCCGCCCCGGAGACGGCGUGCGUGCGGAUGCCAAGCUGCGAUCUAAAGUCUAAAACGACUCUCGGCAACGGAUAUCUCGGCUCUCGCAUCGAUGAAGAACGUAGCGAAAUGCGAUACUUGGUGUGAAUUGCAGAAUCCCGUGAACCAUCGAGUCUUUGAACGCAAGUUGCGCCCCAAGCCUUCGGGCCGAGGGCACGUCUGCCUGGGUGUCACAAAUCGUCGUCCCCCCCAUCCAUUCGAAGGACGUGGGACGGAAGCUGGUCUCCCGUUUGUUACCGCAUGCGGUUGGCCAAAAUCCGAGCUUAGGACGACCGGAUCGUCCCGACACGCGGUGGUGAAACAAAAGCCUAUUCGUUAAGUCGGUCGGUCCCGUCCGCAGCGAGCUCUCGAUGACCCAAAACUCUCAAC